CUCCUUGAUGUUAUGCUCCAAGAAGAGAAAGGAAUCUGCCAGCUCUAAAUUAUCCAUGCAUAUCUUCCUAUUUCCUCCUAUGGAACAUGGAAGUAUAGUCUCAUUUCCAUGAGUUUGCUACCUGGAUUCUGAGGAAGAUAAAUGAAUAUGAAAGCACUUACAAAUUCUAGCUGACAGUUCAGCUAAAAGAUCACUUCCACACCACUUCAAAUUCAAUAAGCCAUGGAUCCUCCUUUCAGCACUGGAAAAUUCUGAGCUUGGCAUAUGAUAAAGAUAGUGAAACUGCAUGAGGAUUAAAAGCCGUAUUUCUCCACCUUAUAAAGCUGAGUAGCACUGGGGGCAAAACUGAGCUGUGUGAGAAACACAGACAGAGCAAGAGAAAAAGUGAUAAAGGAGAGCAAAAGAGAUUCACAAAAUUAUAAACACUUGAUGUAACUGAUGAUAGUACUAUAUUAUUACUUUAUGAUCAUACUUAAUCAAGAAUCAAAUUGGAAAAAUCAUAUAUUUUUUACUGUAUCUAAAAAUUAAAUGUAACUUAAAAUCUCCAUGAAGUAAAAUAACAACCUGGUUAAUGUUUCCCUCCUUAUACUGUAUAUCAUUUGUUUAAAAUUCAGGCUGAUAUUUUUUAUUCAAGAAUAUAAUUAAUGGGGGCGCCUGGGUGGCUCAGUGGGUUAAAGCCUCUGCCUUAAGCUCAGGUCAUGAUCCCAGGGUCCUGGGAUUGAGCCCCGCAUCGGGCUCUCUGCUCGGUAGAGAGCCUGCUUCCUCCUCUCUCUCUGCCUGCUUCUCUGCCUACUUGUGAUCUCUGUUUGUUAAAUAAAUAAAAUCUUAAAAAAAAAAAAAAGAAUAUAAUUAAUGUAAUUUUUAAGCAGGAUUAUUAGCCUAACUUCCGUGGGCAUUUUUCAGUAUCAUUCCUGCCCACUGUUAACCAGGGACCAUUAAGGAAACAAUCCCGAGUGUAUCCUUUGAGUUUCUGACUUAAGCAAAAAAUGAUAAUGCAGUUUCCAAAUCAUCCCUGCCUCUCUUAUCCCUCUUAAAAAACAAUACUUGCUGGAAUUAUAUUCAUGU